GCCAAAUGGUUACGGAGCCUUGGUCGUCGAGCCGUUGAUGCUGAGGACCCCAGAGGUUUCUAAAAUACUGAGUAAAGCCGUUGGAUUGAACAGAGGAACUGGGGUAGUAGCCAGGAGAGGGUGGACCCUGAGCAGUAGAGCUACUAGAGGACAUUACAAGAACAAAAACGAGGAGGAAAAGAGAAGCAGCCAUGAAAUUAGAGCAAUAAUGUAUCGCAUAGGUUGCUGUUUGUUGCAAGCUAUGGUUGGAGAUGUGUGGGGCAGAGAGAAUUGAAGAGAAAUGGGGUGGGAAUUUGGGAAUAAAUAGAGAAGUUUAUGAGAUUUCAGGCCCCACAUUACAUAAAAAAAGCUAACACAAAUUUGGGGGGUUGAAGUAAAAUCUGGAGAAUGA
rnacentral:misc_RNA from 1 species